GGCUCUGUAGUGUAGGUGGUUAGCACGCAGGGUUCUGAUUCCUGCAACCGCAGUUCGAGUCUGCGCAGGGCCU
rfam:Beta vulgaris subsp. vulgaris contig122993.1, whole genome shotgun sequence.